GGGGGUAGAAUUCGGGGUAGAACAUUUGACUGCAGAUCAAGAGGUCCCCGCUUCGAAUCUGGGUACCCCCU
rfam:Homo sapiens chromosome 8, GRCh38 reference primary assembly.